rnacentral:rRNA from 1 species
CCUACGGGAGGCAGCAGUGAGGAAUAUUGGUCAAUGGGCGCGAGCCUGAACCAGCCAAGUAGCGUGAAGGAUGACUGCCCUACGGGUUGUAAACUUCUUUUAUAAAGGAAUAAAGUGAGGCACGUGUGCCUUUUUGUAUGUACUUUAUGAAUAAGGAUCGGCUAACUCCGUGCCAGCAGCCGCGGUAAUACGGAGGAUCCGCGCUUUAUCCGGAUUUAUUGUGUUUAAAGGGAGCGUAGAUGGGUUGUUAAGUCAGUUGUGAAAGUUGGAGGCGCAACCGUAAAAUUGCAAUUGAUACUGGCAGUCUUGAGUACAGUUGAGGUAGGCGGAAUUCGUGGUGUAGCGGUGAAAUGCUUAGAUAUCACGAAGAACUCCGAUUGCGAAGGCAGCUUACUAAACUGCCACUGACAUUGAUGCUCGAAAGUAUGGGUAUCAAACAGGAUUAGAUACCCCAGUAGUC